rnacentral:rRNA from 1 species
UGCGUAGGCGGGUCUUUAAGUCAGGGGUGAAAUCCUGGAGCUCAACUCCGGAACUGCCUUUGAUACUGAAGAUCUUGAGUUCGGGAGAGGUGAGUGGAACUGCGAGUGUAGAGGUGAAAUCCGUAGAUAUUCGCAAGAACACCAGUGGCGAAGGCGGCUCACUGGCCCGAUACUGACGCUGAGGCACGAAAGCGUGGGAGCAAACA